GGUUAAAAAAUUAUAACAAAAGUCAUUCUACACUACGGUUUAGAAUUUCGUGAAUGUGCAAAAAUUAUCUGUGGGGUACACACAGGUAUUAGUAUGUUUAAUUUGUUAUGUCACGAAGUGGUCAAAUGAUUCAAUUUUAAAUGUGUAUAACCAUUUAGUAAUUUAUGUUUGAAAUUUUGCUUUUGUACACAUACAAGUACAUCACAAUUAGAACACAAAUAAUUAUAUUUUGACCAUAUGUUUUGUUCUGCAGAUGUUCGAAUUUUGAAUACGUGUAAACUUUAAUUACAUUUGAUGUUCAGCAACAGUUUUAAAAGUAAUA
rnacentral:lncRNA from 1 species